AUGUAUCUAUCAACUUCCCUCUAUCUAUCUAUCUAUCUAUCUAUCUAUUUAUCCCUCUAUCUAUCUAUAUAUUUAUGUAUGUAUCAAUCAAUCAAUCUAUCUAUCUAUCUAUCUACCCGUCUAUCUAUCUAUCUAUCUAUCUAUCUAUUUAUCCCUCUAUCUAUCUAUAUAUUUAUGUAUGUAUCAAUCAAUCAAUCAAUCAAUCAAUCUAUCUAUCUAUUUAUGGCUAAUUUUUUUAAAUAA
rnacentral:rRNA from 1 species